AUUAAUCAUGUUAAAAUAUUAUGUUCAAUCCAUAAACAAUUAUUGAGUACUUACUCAUCUUGGCAGUAAUCUGAAGCAUAGCCGGAACUUGGUGUGCAAGGACAACAACCUCGUAAGAACUCCCUUGGAACUUCUCUAUAUGCUUUUCUAUUUUUUCCUAAUCUGGAAACAUAACAUCAUUAACUUAAAUAAGCAAAUGUUAGAAUCAUUUGGCAGUAACUAGUUGAAACAACUCUUGGCAAAAGAUAGAACUAACGAUCUGACUAUUUUGAACUAUAUAGCAGUAAGUUUUCUGGUCAAUUUAUAACUAGUUCCAGUAACUUUAAAUGGUCGAAUAUCCGUAGUAGUGCUUUUCUAUUUUUUCCUAAUCUGAAAACAUAUCAUCAUCAACUUAAAUAAGAAAAUGUUAGAAUCAUCUUGACAAUAUCUAGUUGAAACAACUCUUGUCAAAAGAUAAAACUAUGUGAAUAUUUUUAACUAGAUAGCAGCAAGCUUUUUGGUCAAUUUCUAACUAAUUGCAGCAACUUUAAAUGGUCGAAUAUCAGCAGAAAUCUUAAAAGCAAACGUAUAGCCAAUGGUGCUAAAGCUUGAAGGUAAUCCAGUGCACAAUAUUUGGAGACCAAGCUGCAAGUUGGGGUAGGUAACAACAGCUUGUUUCUUUCUUUUCCUUUGUCAAACGGUGCAAGGAGGGGCAGAAAUGUAUUGAAAUUGAUUUGGUGAAUGAGCAACAAGCUAGCAUCCUCCUCCAAGCCGUGUAUGAUAUAUGGUGAAAAAAAUGAAAAUGUUUUCUAUCUUGUCCCCGUAUUUCCUCAUCCUCUUGACAACUAAAGAAAUCACCAAAUGGGCAUCAUUAACUCAGCAAAUACAGCUGCAAUUUUAAGCAGCAAAACAUACCAAAACAGAGCAGCAAGCAGCUUCAAAAAUAAUGGUAUUAAUCAAGGCAUAAUCAACAAGUAGCUAAGAAAUGCUAAUGGAAGUACUCUUCUUUUUCCAAGAAAUUAAUAGCAAUAUUUGAAACUAUAUUGCCAUUUUAUUUGCUUCGGUGCUAGUUGCUCAUUCAGCAGCUAAGUUCCAAG
rnacentral:lncRNA from 1 species